AAGCUAUAAAACAGAGACCACCUGAUCCGCUGAAAAUUUCUUACGCUACCAUCUAGAGUACGCCAUCGGAAUGAUCUCCGAUCAAAACCCUAAACCCCCGUAUCAGUUAUGCCGCCGAUCUAGCUGCUUCUUCCAUACGUGAAAAAGAGUAACUCAGAGAACUUGAUGCAGUCAGGUUUUCUUAAAUUUCUCGCAUGUAUUCUUUUAUAGAAAAAUCAAGAACUCUUAAGUUACAUUCAUAUAAAAAUAGAAACUGUAGUUUUCUUGAAUAUAUUGGCAUUGCAAAUAUCAAGGAAUUUCAAGAAAUUAGGUUGUUAUUCUCGCAGUGUAUGUUAAGUAUGUUAAGGAUGUUCAAGAAUUGAAUGGAAUGUUGUGGAGUUGUUCUUGAACUCAAAAACAAAAAUUAAGUAGUUUAAUUAUAGGAGUUUGUGAUUUGUAGUAAUUUGAAUGAAGACACUCAAUUGGACAGACUUUCAGAAAGGUUUGUGUAAUGCAAGAGAAUAGAGAAUAUAUGGUUCAUCUUUUCUGAUUUUGUUAAAACAAAAAUUAAGUAGUUUAAUUAUACGAGUUUGUGAUUUGUAGUAAUUUGAAUGAAGACACUCAAUUGGACAGACUUUCAUGAAGGUUUGUGUAAUGUAAGAGAAUAGAGAAUAUAUGGUUCAUCUUUUCUGAUUUUGUUAAAACAAAAAUUAAGUAGUUUAAUUAUACGAGUGUGUGAUUUGUAGUAAUUUGAAUGAAGACACUCAAUUGGACAGACUUUCAGAAAGGUUUGUGUAAUGCAAGAGAAUAGAGAAUAUAUGGUUCAUCUUUUCUGAUUUUGUUAAAACAAAAAUUAAGUAGUUUAAUUAUACGAGUUUGUGAUUUGUAGUAAUUUGAAUGAAGACACUCAAUUGGACAGACUUUCAUGAAGGUUUGUGUAAUGUAAGAGAAUAGAGAAUAUAUGGUUCAUCUUUUCUGAUUUUGUUAAAACAAAAAUUAAGUAGUUUAAUUAUACGAGUGUGUGAUUUGUAGUAAUUUGAAUGAAGACACUCAAUUGGACAGACUUUCAUAAAGGUUUGUUGUAAUGUAAGAGAAUAGAGAAUAUAUGGUUCAUUUUUUCUGAUUUUGUUAAAACAAAAAUUAAGUAGUUUAAUUAUAUGAGGUUGUGAUUUGUAGUAAUUUGAAUGAAGACACCCAAUUGGACAGACUUUCAUAAAGGUUUGUCUAAUGUAAGAGAAUAAAGAAUAUAUGGUUCAUCUUUUCUGAUUUUGUUAAAACAAAAAUUAAGUAGUUUAACUAUACGAGUUUGUUAUUUGUAGUAAUUUGAAUGAAGACACCCAAUUGGACAGACUUUCAUAAAGGUUUGUGUAAUGUAAGAGAAUAGAGAUUAUAUGGUUCAUCUUUUCUGAUUUUGUUAAAACAAAAAUUGAGUAGUUUAAUUAUACGAGUUUGUGAUUUGUAGUAAUUUGAAUGAAGACACCCAAUUGGACAGACUUUCAUGAAGGUUUGUGUAAUGUAAGAGAAUAGAGAAAAUAUGUUUCAUCUUUUCUGAUUUUGUGAAUGUUUUGUUGGCUUGCUCAAAAAGCAGGGACCAGUGAGCUCUUUAAUGAAUUCUUUAUGUUCUUUUGUUAACUUCUUUUGAUGACGAGGGCAUAUGCUUAAUAUGAAAAUUAAUACUAUUGUUUCUUUUCUUUAGGUUGAUACUCCAUUCUAGACUAAUCUUCUUAUGUUUGUUUGUUUAUAAGCUGUGUAAUCGUACUUUGAACUUGAACCAACUUUCCACCAGAUAUCUGCUGCUAUGUGACUGUUUCUACAUCUUCUGUUUAUGCUUCCUUUUUGUCCGGUCAUUUUAUCAUGGUUUCGUAUGCUCGCUUUACACCAGCUACACCAAAAUACAACCAUUAAGAUGAAUUGCAUACUUCCCCAGCAAGUUUUGGCUUUAAAGGAGAGGCUCAGUGGCGUUCCUUUGUUGGAAAUCGUCACUAAAACUCACCGGAAGCCAAAUGGAUAUCGCAGGUUUUUCAGGGCAAGUGUUUGUACCUUGGAAUUGAAGAUCGUAGACAAAAUGUUGGUGCAACAGUCUUGGAAGUCCAAAGAGGAUCUUGCAUUCUCUGCAAGAGUCUUGUCUAAGAACCACCCUUGUGCAUCCGAGUGUCUCCCUCAAAAUUGUUGAUAUUGAAAGUGAGGAUGUCUUAGUUUGCACGUGUGCUUCACCUUUUCCGUUGCCGCUAUUGUAUAGUGGGUUUGACAUUCUUCUUAGUUCCCUUGACAAAUUGAAUGCAAGUGAUGGUUCAUUCAAGCUCUCAAGAUACGUCUCAGGUCCUGAUGUUUUCACAGUGUAGGUAUACAGUCCCCAAUUGAUGGAUAAAGAGAUGCAAUAAGUCUUCUUUUCUACACCCUACUCAAUCUUAUGUACUCUUGUGACGUCUGACGGAGUCAUCUGUUAAUAAGGGGCGGAUGUUGUAUUAUUCCUGGAGGAUUUGGUGAGAGAGAUGUGGAGGGUAAAAUUCUUGCUGCCAAAUAUGUCCGUGAAAACAGGAUUCCUUACUUGGGCAUAUGUCUAGGCAUGCAAAUUGCAGUUAUCGAGUAUGCUAGAUCCAUUCUUGGGUUGCAAGAUGCGAACAGUACAGAGUUUGAUCCCAACACUCACAACCUUUGGAUAAUUUUUAUGCCGGAAGUUAAGUUCUGAUAUUUCCUCUUCAUCAUGAACUUCCCUCAUGAUCUUCAUAUGUUUGAGGUCUCAUUUUAGUAGCAGAUAUAUUAAUCAUAUAUUAUUCUAUUGACCAAGUUCACAGGGUUCAAAAUCGCAUAUGGGUGUACCAUGCGUCUUGGAUCAAGAAGAACGUAUUUUAGAGUCAAAGAUUCUAAAUCUGUAAAACUAUCAAUGUCGCAACCGGAGCUUUGUUGAUGAAAGGCACCGUCAUAGAUAUGAGGUGAAUCUUGAUAUGGUGCAGAAAUUUGAAGAUGCUUGUCUUUCUUUCCCUGGCAAAGAUGAAAGUGAUCGGUACAUGGAGGUAAUGUUGCAAUAGGAAUUGGGACCUGCUAUGUUAAGGUGGAUGACAAUGGGUGGAUGGGGACUCACAUAAAUGGAUUGAUGCUUGAAAUCGAGGUAAAACAGAUAAGUCUUACAAGGAAGAAGAAGUCAUACAACUCUUCCAUUUUACCAUGGCAAGAAGUUCUUUGCCACGAGUGAGUCUUCAAGAAAGGCAGAAGGAAAUAAUAAUAUUAAGACAGUUCAUGAUGUGUUACUCAUGCCAGAAACUAGAACUGUAAGGAGACUGCAUCAUUCUACAGAAGCUAUCUGGCUGGAGCUUCCACGACAGUCAUGAGUCAUCCCAUCAAUGUGAUUAAUCUUCAACCCAUGACAGUGUAUUUUCUGAUGGAAGGCCAAGUGUGAAAAUGGAACCUGUCAACAUCUGAAAUAACAAUUACAAGCUCAAGGGGAGUGCUCAAGUACGCACAAUGGGGAGUCAAAAGAAGAUAUUUUGCUAUGAACUGGAUUAGGAAGCUAUCAAUGGCAUGUUAUUUAUUUGUUAGAAAUGCUGCUCAUCCCAGUUCAACAUUUCUACUUUGUGUUCCAUAUGUAGGUUAAGAGAGGAGUAGUUUGAAUUAUUAUCUCAAAAAUGAAAAUAAAAAGAAGUUUGAAUGUUGGUAUAUACCGUCCUUAAGCUGACUUUUCUAAAUGAUGCUUCACAAUCAAGCUAGAAAAAGACUAAGCAAGUGAUGUCCUAAUGAAAUGGUGCACUGAAGAGUGCACUGGCAGGAGUGAGAUUCGAUCUUCACAGAUUAUUCGGUGGGGAUGUGCUUCUGAAAAGCAUGAUCCUGAGUCCAGAUUCCUCUGUCAAAUCAUACGUUCAAGUCUGUCAAUUGAUUUCUCUCUUGCUCAUUGACAGUUGGUGUGAACUGGAAAUCCAGAAACGCUGCGCACACCCAUUCAUCUAAUGUUUUUCCUAAGGAUGGUGAUUUCCUGGAUAAUAAAUUCAGUGCUUCAGGUAGCUAGCUCCAGUUGUAGAUCAGACUUCCUGUUAAUUUCCAGACGGGAGGAAUCUUUAACAAUUGUAGCUGGCAGAUCAACAGAGAAUGUCUCAUUUAAGGAAUCUCUUGUACUUGAUAACAGUUCAAAUGUAAAGCAUGAGAGAAGGAAACCAUUUAUGCAGAGCGGUUCUUUGCGCAGAAGCCUCACACAUGAUGAAUCAUCUUUUGAUAGUUAUGAAGAUAUUAAGUUUGAAAAAAGUAAAUACAGAACCAAACAAAAUCACCUAUAAUAUGAUUUUAGUGUUGAAUUUGAAGUAGCUGAGGAUGUUAAUCAGGUCUUAAAUCAUAGGUCUCUUUCAGGUAAGGAAAUAUGAUUUGAGAAGUUUUGCUGGGGCAAAACUAAGAGCAAGGCAUUGCAGAGUCAAAAUAGAUUCAGAAAAGUCUGCAUUAACCAGGACAUUCUAGAAGAAUACGAUCAUCGGAUGGACUUCUUUGAACAGACUGCUGAAAUGUAUGAUUCCGUCCUGCCAUAUUUUAGUCCAGAACCGCGUCUCUUCUGUCACCAGAUAUCGGGACCUGGUUUCGAGAUGUUAAUCCUUACAUUGCUGAAAAUGGGAUUGAAACUUCUGUUGAACAUGAAGUUGGUCUCACGUAUAUUUUUAGAAACAUGGAACAUAAUUUCGUUGUUCCUGCCAUAAAUAAUUUGAGAAAAGACGACUGCUUGUUCCCAAAUCCUGCAAAAUUUGAUCUUGAUUUGUAUGCUUGUUCUAAAGAGGAUAUGGGGCAGUAUAGGGGCUCUUGAUGCGUGGGUUGUUUAUAGUUCAGGUCCUUCUGAAUUCUAUUAUGAAGGAGAUGAUUUGUCACUUUUACAUUCUCAUGGUGUAGAUAACCUUAAUAAUUAUUUGACACCACGAGCUAUGCUCUCCUCUAGGGUGGAUGGAACUCGGGUAAAUGGAUUGAUACGGGAAAUCAAGGUAAAACAGAUGAGCUUAUAGGAUGAAGAGGAUCAGAAGAAGUCAUUCAGCUCAUCCAUUUUACCAAAGCAUGGAGAAGUUUUUUGCCACAAAUGAGUCUUCAAGAAAAGCAGCAGUAAAUAACAUAUAUUGUGACUGUUCGUGAUGUGCCACUUAUGCCAGAAACUACAGCGAUAAGGAGAGUGCAGCAUUCUGCAGAAGCUAUCUGCUCGGAGCUUCCACAUCUAUGUAAUCAAUCUUCACCCAAGUUGUGGUGACUGUGUAUUCUCUGAUGAAAGGCCAAGUAUGAAAAUGAAACUAGCUAACAUCUGGAAUAACAAAUUACAAGCUCAAAGGGGAGUGUACAAGUACACUCAAUGGGGAUUCAAAAGAAGGAAUAAUUUGGACCUGGAGCACAGUGCAAAUAAAUGCAUGGAGCAACUCUCUAUCUCUCUUCCACACACACACAUGAAAAAUAGUAAAACGGAACAUAUUGUAUAGAUUGAGGGUUUAAAGCCUUUCAAGUGUCGUUUGAUCAUUUUAUGUUCUAAUAGGGUUAAUUAAGACAAGUGAAUUACGAGUUGUAAAUUUCUAAAGGUUUGCUCUUUGAAUUAUAAGGCUGAAUAGGUUUUCAAUUUAAUUUGGAAAACUAUUCACGACAUCAUUCAUGUUUUAGGAAAUACUUCACUAUCUAACAAUAUUCCCUUGCA